UUUCCGUAGGUGAACCUGCGGAAGGAUCAUUAUUGUAUAACCUACGUGCCGGGGUAAGCUCUGACCCGAAGGGUCGUGAACGCCCGAGUGCCCUCACGCCCCUCCAUCUCACCCCUCUGCGCCCUACCGCGUGGGGCCCCCGUCGGCUUGUUCGGCGGAGGGCUUACGUUUUCUCGCCAGCGUUGUAUGCAGUGUAUAAUGUAUUUUUUGUUUUUGCUAUUACUCAUGCAAUACAACUAUAAACAACCGAACUCUUGGCUCUCACAUCGGAACAGAACC
rnacentral:misc_RNA from 1 species